GAACGGGUGGCCAGGCUCCUGGCAAGUGAUCCACUGGGCUGCCUUAAGCCACCGGUGCAUCAUCCAAGACACCCAGUGGACAGCCAACCCAGAGAUGGACCCGGAGGCCUUACCAGAGGGGCAGCUGGUGUGGACUCAGUAUCUCCAGACCCCCUGUUCCACCCAGUCCUGAUCCACACAUCCCACAGCAGGCCACCUUCACUGAGGACCAGCUCUGGAGCAGCAGGGAGUGGGAAGGGGACCUGGACCCCUUGACUUCAGAGGGAAGGUCUCGGAUGAAAACUCCAUUCUGUUUGAAGACAUCGCUACGCAGAUGGCUGUCCCCCUCCCUCAAUGUGGCCCAGAGAUUCCAUAGGAUGUGGCUUUCUUCCUUAAAUAUUGGAACCACAGACAGCCUGGUGCACUUCUGUCAGAAGGACGUUGGGGCAUGGCAGAAGCAUCCCUGGCCAGGAAAUAAACCUCUCUAAUUUGUUGCAAA